AACCAUGUGAUUAGCACAAAGCGAACUAUUCUUUCGCCUUUUACUAAAGAAUACCGUGUGCUAUUCACUAAUAGUGGUAUACGCAUAUUUUUGAAAGAGUUCUCUCUAUAGAGAGCU
rnacentral:snRNA from 1 species